rnacentral:lncRNA from 1 species
GCGGCGGCAUGGGGGCGGUGGGGCUCCGCGGGCAGCCUGGUUGCGCUGCACCCGGACGGGGCCGAGGGGACCUGAAAGCUGCGGCAGAGCCUGACCGCGCCGUUCUCCAGAAGAGCCCCGGCCGCGGCUGAGUCGCGCUCCGGGUGUGGACGGAGCCGGAGCCUCCCCGGGGCUCGGUGAGGACACAGGGCCCAAGCCCCGGACCUUCAAGUCUUGACCGAGCGCAUCCCCGGCCCUUCUGCGCCCACACCUGAGUUUUUGUCUGUAGGAGUUUCCGCAGUUUGCUAAGAAUCGACAUCUAGAGGAGUACUCACCACUUAAUUGAUGAUCAAUACACGUUCCUUGAAAGAACCGAUAGCAUGCGAUCGAUACAGAGCAUCUGCACUGGGAUUGUCCGCCCCGCCUGUCAGGGAGGCCUCGGGGGCUAAUGGAGCUGAGGACCUUGCACUUGCUGAAUUAGCUGGGACCAUCCAGAUGGAUAAACUGGCUCAUCUGAUCUUGUGGCCCGCACUCAGCAACCGGCUCAGGCCAAGAGGACAGCUUUGAUCCAUACGAUUUCAUCUCUGAUCUGACCCCUCAGUGCUCCCAGCUUACUGGCCCCCUACCUACCAAAUUAUCCUUAAAAACUCUGAACUCCAGGGCUGGGCACGGUGGCUCACACCUGUAAUCCCAGGACUCUGGGAGGCCGAGGCAGGCGGAUCACUUGAGGUCAGAAGUUCAAGACCAGCCUGGCCAACAUGGCAAAACCCCGUCUCUACUAAAAAUACAAAAAUUAGCCAGGCGUGGUGGUGCACGCCUGUAAUGCCAACUACUUGGGAGCCUGAGGCAGGAGAAUUGCUUGAACCCUGAAGGCGGAGGUUGCAGUGUGCUGAAAUCGCACCACUGCACUCCAGCCUGGGCAACAGAGCAAGACUCCAUCUCAAAAACAACAGCAAAAACUCUGAACUCCGAAUUCUUGGGGAAAUUGAUUUGAGUAAUAAUAAAACUCUGGUCUCCCGCACAGCCAGCUCUGUGUGGAUUAUUCUUUCUCUAUGCAGUUCACCUGUUUGGAUAAAUCAGCUCUGUGUAGGCAACAUGAACCUGAUUGGCAGUUACAGUAGCCUGUAAUCCCAGCUACGUGGGAGGCUGAG